rnacentral:rRNA from 1 species
ACGUGAGCAACCUGCCUUGAGUGGGGAAAACCGUUGGAAACGACGGCUAAUACCGAAUGUGGCGCCGGGAGACAUCUCCCGAACGCUAAAGGGGGCGAAAGCUCUCCCUCUCGAGGGGCUCGCGCACCAUCAGCUUGUUGGCGGGGUAACGGCCCACCAAGGCUUACGGUUAGCUGGUCUGAGAGGAUGGCCAGCCGCACUGGGACUGAGAUACUGCCCAGACUCCUACGGGAGGCUGCAGUCGAGGAUCAUUCGCAAUGGGGGAAACCCUGACGAUGCGACGCUGCGUGGAGGAUGAAAAGGCCUUCGGGUUGUAAACUCCUGUCAUGAUGGAAAAGGAGAGGGGACCUAAUACGUCCUUGAUUUGAUGGUACAUCAAGAGGAAGAGACGGCUAACUCUGUGCCAGCCGCCGC